UGACUAAAUAAUACAAUAAUUAUGUUUCCCAUACCUUCAGAAGGCCCUGUUAGCAUUGAAAGGUGGUUGUUACAUGACUCGAGAUAGUUAUGAACAUCAUCGGAGCUCACCUUUCUUCUGAUUUCUUGCUCUUUAAGAUCUUCAAAAGAAAGUAUUGCUUCUUUCAUAGUUUCAUCAAAUUUAUCCGUUUCAUAUAGAAGUGUUAGUUCAUCGAGAAGAUUAGUCAAAAUAUCAAGUCUUUCUUGCAUUUCAUUACGCUCAUCGACAAGUGAAAGUAGCGCUACCCUCAAAUCUUGAAAAUCUAAGGGCAACACGGCUUCAGCACCUAAAUCCGUUGAACGCUUCAUCUUCUCCACCUUCUCAGAUAAUUGGGUUUUCUCAGCGGAAACGGCAACUAAACUAUCGCUAAUUUCUUUGUAUCGAGCCUUUACUUCGUCUGUUUUUUUUGCGCUUUCUAAAGCCCAUUGUUCGCGAAUUUUUAGUCCAUUUUUUACAAGUCUAUUAUGCUCUUCUAAUGUUGCCAAGUAUUCUCGAGCCUUUUGGGCACAAGUAUUAGGGCAUUUAAUAAGACUUUCAUCAGAACCGUCACAGCAAUCACACACGGUAUCGUCAACACGAUUUGAUGGGAUAUAUGAACUGAUGUAUCCUGUAUUUUUACAAAAAAAUUUACCAUUGUGACAAGCAGAUGUACCUAAGUGGAUUAGCAAAUAAAUAGUAAAAGCUUAUUACCUGGUUCAUCUGACCCGUCAGGGCAAUCACAAUAAUCGUCUAAAAUGUGUUAGGUUUAGAUUGGCACUUCAGAUUUUAAUUCUCAAUAAUCCUACCAUUGACUUGAUUAAAUGAUAUUAACUUAUCACUUCCCAAGCAUUUCCAGUUUCCUUUGGCAUCUGGCUUGUACAAGUCCGAUUCUACAAGUAAUGAGUAAUGCUUUCUAUUGUAAUCUCAAUUCAAACUUACUAUCACUUGCUACACCACGGAGGUCAUUUGCAGCAUUUACUGUAUACAAUGAACUGAUCAACAAAGGUGCAGUCAACGUGUACCAUUGACUGAACUUCAUCUUCUCAGAAUUUUUUAGUGUUGGUUGUAGCUUCAGAUCACACCGGUUCACGACCACAUAUAGGAAUUCAGGGAUAGAAGGAUCAAAAGUAAAAAAUUGCACUAAUUGUUCGUCUGAUAUUUAAAUUGUUAAGAUUUUAAUCAGAUCAUGAGUUAUGGUGGUUUUAUGGUAUUAGGGUUUUUGUAAAAAUACUACUAUUUAUUGCUUAACUAUUACAGAAUUUUUCAACUUAAACAAUGUAAUUAAAAAAAAAACAAAUCAAUUACGGAGACCUAAACUCUUCAAAAAAACUAUUUAAAAAAAAAGUUUUUGAAAAGCAACAAUAUAGAGAUGACGGGGAUGCCGUAAAUGUACAAUGAAGCAAUUUUAAAUUUAUCUAUACCAACCCAAACACGACACUUCCUAUUUUUUUUGCUUCUCCAAUUCAAUUCGACGCUCUUCUUCUCUUUCCUUAGCAAUUUGUUGUUUCAGCAUCAUUUUAUAAUCACGAAUUUCUCCAUCAAAUUCUUUCACUGUACCGUUUUGUACUAUCCAGAUUUCCUCAGCAACUUGAUCAAUUAAACGGAAGUCGUGAGUAAUGAAAACGACACCACCAUCGAAGUUGUUCAGAGCAUCAGCAAGGGCAUCGAUAGUGUCAAUGUCCAGGGCAUUAGUAGGUUCGUCGAGCAAUAAGAUAUGGGGUUGUGUCAUUCCAAGAAAAGCAAAAAGUACGCGACGACGUUGUCCAUCAGAUAAUUGACCCAUAGGAAUGACUUGGCUUUUGCCCGUUAAUCCGUAACGACCAACGAUUCUGCGCAUCUCUCCUUCAGGUUUAUUGCCAAAUUUUGUACGCAACCAUUCGACUGCAGAAAGUCGCAUAUCAAGUUGAUCACCCAUGUGUUGGUUGAAAAGGGCUAAACGCAAACCAUGAUGGCGUACAACGCUACCAGUACUUGGUUGAACCUUUUCCAAGAUUAAUUUAAUUAACGUAGUCUUUCCAGCACCAUUGGGACCUACCAAGGCAACUCUUGAUUUCAAAUCCAGGCCAAAAUUUAGUUUAGAGAAAAUCGUUGGACCACCUGGAUAAUUGAAGGAAACGUCUUGGAAUUUGAUAGCAGGGGAAGGUAUACCCCCACCGCAAUCUUCAAACCGUAUCACCAGUUGCUUUUCUUGAAUGAUUUCUUCAUCCAAAACUUUGCCAGAUUGUUUAUCCUUUUCUAACUUUUUGUUCAUGGCCUUUACCUUCGCCUUAGCCUUCUUUUGUUGCUCACUACCGGUCAUGUUCAAUUUGUUCUGAAGUUUAGCCAUAUCCUUUUCUUGUUGACGGGCUUUCUUAGCGAGCUGAACAUCGCGUUCAGCACGUACUUUAAGGAAUGUAUCGUAAUUGCCUGAGUAGUAAUCGAGUUUUUGAUGAUAAAGAUG